rnacentral:snRNA from 1 species
GUGCUCGCUUCGGCAGCACAUAUACUAAAACUGGAACAAUACAGAGAAGUUUAGCAUGGCCCCUGCGCAAGGAUGACACACAAAUUUGUGAAGCAUUCCAUAUUUUA